GGUUAAGCGACUAAGCGUACACGGUGGAUGCCCUGGCAGUCAGAGGCGAUGAAGGACGUGCUAAUCUGCGAUAAGCGUCGGUAAGGUGAUAUGAACCGUUAUAACCGGCGAUUUCCGAAUGGGGAAACCCAGUGUGUUUCGACACACUAUCAUUAACUGAAUCCAUAGGUUAAUGAGGCGAACCGGGGGAACUGAAACAUCUAAGUACCCCGAGGAAAAGAAAUCAACCGAGAUUCCCCCAGUAGCGGCGAGCGAACGGGGAGCAGCCCAGAGCCUGAAUCAGUGUGUGUGUUAGUGGAAGCGUCUGGAAAGGCGCGCGAUACAGGGUGACAGCCCCGUACACAAAAAUGCACAUGCUGUGAGCUCGAUGAGUAGGGCGGGACACGUGGUAUCCUGUCUGAAUAUGGGGGGACCAUCCUCCAAGGCUAAAUACUCCUGACUGACCGAUAGUGAACCAGUACCGUGAGGGAAAGGCGAAAAGAACCCCGGCGAGGGGAGUGAAAAAGAACCUGAAACCGUGUACGUACAAGCAGUGGGAGCACGCUUAGGCGUGUGACUGCGUACCUUUUGUAUAAUGGGUCAGCGACUUAUAUUCUGUAGCAAGGUUAACCGAAUAGGGGAGCCGAAGGGAAACCGAGUCUUAACUGGGCGUUAAGUUGCAGGGUAUAGACCCGAAACCCGGUGAUCUAGCCAUGGGCAGGUUGAAGGUUGGGUAACACUAACUGGAGGACCGAACCGACUAAUGUUGAAAAAUUAGCGGAUGACUUGUGGCUGGGGGUGAAAGGCCAAUCAAACCGGGAGAUAGCUGGUUCUCCCCGAAAGCUAUUUAGGUAGCGCCUCGUGAACUCAUCUCCGGGGGUAGAGCACUGUUUCGGCAAGGGGGUCAUCCCGACUUACCAACCCGAUGCAAACUGCGAAUACCGGAGAAUGUUAUCACGGGAGACACACGGCGGGUGCUAACGUCCGUCGUGAAGAGGGAAACAACCCAGACCGCCAGCUAAGGUCCCAAAGUCAUGGUUAAGUGGGAAACGAUGUGGGAAGGCCCAGACAGCCAGGAUGUUGGCUUAGAAGCAGCCAUCAUUUAAAGAAAGCGUAAUAGCUCACUGGUCGAGUCGGCCUGCGCGGAAGAUGUAACGGGGCUAAACCAUGCACCGAAGCUGCGGCAGCGACGCUUAUGCGUUGUUGGGUAGGGGAGCGUUCUGUAAGCCUGUGAAGGUGUACUGUGAGGUAUGCUGGAGGUAUCAGAAGUGCGAAUGCUGACAUAAGUAACGAUAAAGCGGGUGAAAAGCCCGCUCGCCGGAAGACCAAGGGUUCCUGUCCAACGUUAAUCGGGGCAGGGUGAGUCGACCCCUAAGGCGAGGCCGAAAGGCGUAGUCGAUGGGAAACAGGUUAAUAUUCCUGUACUUGGUGUUACUGCGAAGGGGGGACGGAGAAGGCUAUGUUGGCCGGGCGACGGUUGUCCCGGUUUAAGCGUGUAGGCUGGUUUUCCAGGCAAAUCCGGAAAAUCAAGGCUGAGGCGUGAUGACGAGGCACUACGGUGCUGAAGCAACAAAUGCCCUGCUUCCAGGAAAAGCCUCUAAGCAUCAGGUAACAUCAAAUCGUACCCCAAACCGACACAGGUGGUCAGGUAGAGAAUACCAAGGCGCUUGAGAGAACUCGGGUGAAGGAACUAGGCAAAAUGGUGCCGUAACUUCGGGAGAAGGCACGCUGAUAUGUAGGUGAAGCGACUUGCUCGUGGAGCUGAAAUCAGUCGAAGAUACCAGCUGGCUGCAACUGUUUAUUAAAAACACAGCACUGUGCAAACACGAAAGUGGACGUAUACGGUGUGACGCCUGCCCGGUGCCGGAAGGUUAAUUGAUGGGGUCAGCGCAAGCGAAGCUCUUGAUCGAAGCCCCGGUAAACGGCGGCCGUAACUAUAACGGUCCUAAGGUAGCGAAAUUCCUUGUCGGGUAAGUUCCGACCUGCACGAAUGGCGUAAUGAUGGCCAGGCUGUCUCCACCCGAGACUCAGUGAAAUUGAACUCGCUGUGAAGAUGCAGUGUACCCGCGGCAAGACGGAAAGACCCCGUGAACCUUUACUAUAGCUUGACACUGAACAUUGAGCCUUGAUGUGUAGGAUAGGUGGGAGGCUUGGAAGUGUGGACGCCAGUCUGCAUGGAGCCGACCUUGAAAUACCACCCUUUAAUGUUUGAUGUUCUAACGUUGACCCGUAAUCCGGGUUGCGGACAGUGUCUGGUGGGUAGUUUGACUGGGGCGGUCUCCUCCUAAAGAGUAACGGAGGAGCACGAAGGUUGGCUAAUCCUGGUCGGACAUCAGGAGGUUAGUGCAAUGGCAUAAGCCAGCUUGACUGCGAGCGUGACGGCGCGAGCAGGUGCGAAAGCAGGUCAUAGUGAUCCGGUGGUUCUGAAUGGAAGGGCCAUCGCUCAACGGAUAAAAGGUACUCCGGGGAUAACAGGCUGAUACCGCCCAAGAGUUCAUAUCGACGGCGGUGUUUGGCACCUCGAUGUCGGCUCAUCACAUCCUGGGGCUGAAGUAGGUCCCAAGGGUAUGGCUGUUCGCCAUUUAAAGUGGUACGCGAGCUGGGUUUAGAACGUCGUGAGACAGUUCGGUCCCUAUCUGCCGUGGGCGCUGGAGAACUGAGGGGGGCUGCUCCUAGUACGAGAGGACCGGAGUGGACGCAUCACUGGUGUUCGGGUUGUCAUGCCAAUGGCACUGCCCGGUAGCUAAAUGCGGAAGAGAUAAGUGCUGAAAGCAUCUAAGCACGAAACUUGCCCCGAGAUGAGUUCUCCCUGACCCUUUAAGGGUCCUGAAGGAACGUUGAAGACGACGACGUUGAUAGGCCGGGUGUGUAAGCGCAGCGAUGCGUUGAGCUAACCGGUACUAAUGAACCGUGAGGCUUAACCUU
rnacentral:rRNA from 1 species